ACCAACAUGAUAUCUAUAACAAAGAAUAUAAUCAAGCAUAUGACAUAAUUGAACAUUCAUGGCAUCUGGUAAUUAAUUUAGCAAAAAUAUAGUGCUCUCAAACUACUUAUCAUUUUGCAAGGUAUCUUAGUAUCAUAAGAAUCAAGCCUAUGUGGGGCAUGUCAUGACCUUAUUACUAGUUAGAGACCCUCUCAGAUUGAUCUCCUUGUCUUAGCCAUAAAGGUAUCUAAAGGCAAGAUCA
rnacentral:lncRNA from 1 species